AUGUCUGGGAAACUGCCUGAUGGAGGGGGAUAACUACUGGAAACGGUAGCUAAUACCGCAUAACGUCGCAAGACCAAAGAGGGGGACCUUCGGGCCUCUUGCCAUCAGAUGUGCCCAGAUGGGAUUAGCUAGUAGGUGGGGUAACGGCUCACCUAGGCGACGAUCCCUAGCUGGUCUGAGAGGAUGACCAGCCACACUGGAACUGAGACACGGUCCAGACUCCUACGGGAGGCAGCAGUGGGGAAUAUUGCACAAUGGGCGCAAGCCUGAUGCAGCCAUGCCGCGUGUAUGAAGAAGGCCUUCGGGUUGUAAAGUACUU
rnacentral:rRNA from 1 species